rnacentral:lncRNA from 1 species
UAGGGACUGGGCCUGGCAGCUGCAGGCCGUUGUGCUUCCCUACAGAUCCACCCUGUAUAGCCUCAACCUGCCAGGGCCUUGCCUUUGCUGACCAGCCUAGCUCCCUAAGAACUCUCGGGUUUCUGCUCCUGCCACCCAAGGGUUCCAAGAGCCCUGCACAUCCUGGUUUUCAGCCAAACACCUGUGGCUGUGAGGGCAGUGAGGAGCCCUCCAUGUCCCCAUGGGGCCCAGCAAAGCAUAUUAAACCUGAGCCUGCCUAAUCCCAGCCCUGAUGUAGUUUAUGGUACUCAGGUUACCCUAAUCCCGAAACCCAAGCUGGGGUCCCAGCAGCCUUCCCAGAGCCAUCCAAGAGGCACAAAAGCCCUUCCCAGUGGGCAGCAAGAAGACUCCCUCCCAAGUGCCUUCUGUGUUUGGAGCUGUCUCUCACUAGGGAUAUGGCAGGAUUCUGGGCACCCACAGAGGUGAAAAAUCCAGCCCUGAUGAACCUGAGCAAGCUUGGAAAGCACUAGGCCCUCAGCUGGGCCUGCUGUGACCUCUUACCCAGGAGGAAAUUCAAAGCCAGCAGCGAAGCAGAAGUGAUAGGCAAGACAGAUCCAGCUCAAGCCUGGUAAGGUCUAGCCUCUAGGGUUUCAUGGGACAAUGAUCAAGCCUUAUAGUUCCAUAAAAUUAAACUGUUUUUCUCCUAAUAAAAUCAGAUCUUUUGGACUUGUAACCAAUGAUCAAAUAACACCAAAUGUUUGGGAACAAAGUGGACCCAUAAACAAGGCACAGUAUGACCUUGUUACAUAGUAGCUGGGGGUUGGGAGCUAGCUGAAGACAGCUUUUUGCCUCUACCAUUGACCACACUGACCCAGCAAGACUGGCACUGUGCCAGGCAUGGGCACACAUGUGAGAACACCUCAGCACGAGACAGGAAAACCUCACAGGCUUCCUUGUAAUCAUAUUAGUAUGGUAUACAUGUGUCUCUAGCAUCUUUAUAGAACUUUCACAUCCGUAGAUUUCCCUGAAGCAGAUAUAAUUAGCUCUUGACCUACAAGGGUCAAGAUAUGGGACAGAAUGUCAGGGGAGCAAAGUGAUGUCCGGAUGUAUUUUCUUCAGUCCCCCCACUUGAUGAAUGAGAAGACUGUCACCCGGACCCCCCAGGAGCUCCCAUGGGGGUACAUUGGUAAAGCCAGGACAUGGGCCCCUAACCCCCACCCCAGGUCUCACCGCAGGUCCCUGCCUGUGGGUGAAGGUGGAUGGGAGGCAAGACCUCCAGAAGGCUUCAAUGGCUCAUUGUUCUGCUGUGGUAGCUGAAAUUGGGCCGGGUGAUUAUAAUAAUAAAGUUCUAACGAUCAGCUAAUGGUUGGGUUUCCACAGCUUGGGGAGUAUUUGAUUUUCAAAGUCUUUGGGAGGGGAGGCAGUGUAUCAAUGGAGUAUGUUGUUCACAUCAGCCCAUUCUUUGCAAAGCAGCGUCUCCCAUCUCCUGCCUUAAUUCUCUCAAAAGGUGUUGUACCUGUCAGCUCUCCAGUGCCCAGUCAUGUCAGGGCAGGAAAGUGCACCAGGAGGCCCAGAAUGAUUUUCACUAACCUUCCCAGGCUGGCCUUGAACUUGCAAUUCUCCUGCCUCAGCUUCCCAAGCAGCUGGGAUUAUAGCUGUGUGGGACCAUAACUGACAAGGAUGGACUUUGUUUUUAAGAACAGGUUGGAGAUAGCAGAAUAAAGGGUAAUGAACCUGAUGACAAGUUAAAAAUAAGUUCUCCAAUCAAAAGAAUAGAGAGAAAAAGAUUAAAAACAACAAACACAAAAUGCAUAGCCUCAGGGACUGGGAGCUAAACACUUAAAAUAUUUAAAAUCAUG